GGGGGCAUAGCUCAGUGGUUAGAGCAGUCGGCUCAUAACCGAUUGGUCGCUGGUUCGAACCCAGCUGCCCCCACCA
rnacentral:tRNA from 1 species